UCCAUGGAGAUGGGGCCGCGAACGGAGGACACAUCCGAUUAUCCUUCGCAGCCUUCAGUAUCCCAGCAUGCACCGCGCGUCAGCAGUCAGAUGUUCGAAAACACAGAGCGAAAACACGGAGCAAAAAGCCCGUCCGGAGAACGGAGAAAAACAUCCUCCUGUAUGAGGACGCGGCACACUGCAGGGGCCAUAGAACUGUUGGCUGACAAGAUGUUUGUGAUUCAUAAAAUGGGUCAAAUGCAGAUGCCAAAGUAAAGGCCACACUGAGCUGGAGGUGCUGACCCAGACUCCUGCCAACGAUUAGGUUUUCACUCUGCAGGACAGAACUUUGAAUCAAUCAGACGUAACGCCCAUUCUGCUCGUCCUCCUCCAGAAGACAAGAGAUACAUCAGACUGAGUGGUCCAAGUCCACUGUCCAUGUCUCCAAUGCCCAUGUCCAGAGUCUCUGAGGAGGAGGUCCAGAGUCUCAUAUGAUCUGAACAAGUGUGUGAGACAGAAAUGAAAACAUCUGCUCACAAGUUUUUCUGAAUGUUUUUCAGUCUGUACUGACAUUUGAUUUAUGGUGAAAUGUGCCAUUAAUUUGGUGUCUCUUUUGAUAGUAACUAAUUACAUGUACUAUAAGAAUGUACUAUUGUACUGCAGAUAAGAUGUGGUAUUCCACAUGAUCAUAUUUGGCAAAGAUAAUUUAUUCAUUUUUGAUUGUUACUUGCUUCAGCAAAGAGAGAACACAAUGAGAUUUACUGACAUACAGCUGUUUGUACUAAACUGUUAAUGCAGAGUGUGUGUAAUGGGUUUAAUGUUUGACUAUUCAUAUUAUGAUAAAGUAUUUCCAAAAGUUCCUUGGAUUGUUUAAUAAACCAGCUUUUCUCAGGA